GACGAACGCUGGCGGCGUGCCUAAUACAUGCAAGUCGAACGCAGUGGGGACGGGUGAGUAACACGUGGGUAACCUCCCAUCAGAGGGGAUAACACUUGGAAACAGGUGCUAAACCGUUACUGAUGUAUGGACCCGCGGUUCAUUAGCUAGUGGGUGAGGUAACGGCUCACAAAGGCCACGAUGCAUAGCCGCCCUGAGAGGUGGAUCGGCCACACUGGGACUGAGACACGGCCCAGACGCGUACGGUAGGCAGCAGUAGGGAAUCUUCGGCAAGGGACGAAAGUCGGACCGAGCAACGCCGCGUGGGUGAAGAAGGUUUUCGGAUCGUAAAACUCUGUUGUUAGAGAAGCGGUAUCUAACCAGAAAGCCACGGCUAACUACGUGCCAGCAGCCGCGGUAAUAC
rnacentral:rRNA from 1 species